GACAGAGGUGCCAAGCGUUAGGCGGAAUCACUGGGCUUAAAGCGUGUGUAGGUGGACUGGUAAGUACCUUGUGAAAUCCCCCGGCUCAACCGGGGAACUGCUUGGUAUACUGCUGGUCUUGAGCAACCUAGGGGCGAGCGGAACAAAUGGUGGAGCGGUGAAAUGCGUAGAUAUCAUUUGGAACGCCAAUGGUGAAAACAGCUCGCUGGGGGUUCGCUGACACUGAGACACGAAAGCCAGGGGAGCAAACGGG
rnacentral:rRNA from 1 species